rnacentral:rRNA from 1 species
CGGCGAGUGAAGCGGUAACAGCUCAAAUUUGAAAGCUGGCCCCCCCGGGGCCCGCGUUGUAAUUUGCAGAAGAUGCUUCGGGCGCCGCCCUGGUCUAAGUUCCUUGGAACAGGACGUCAUAGAGGGUGAGAAUCCCGUAUGUGACUGGGCGCGCGCGCCCGUGUGAAGCUCUUUCGACGAGUCGAGUUGUUUGGGAAUGCAGCUCUAAAUGGGUGGUAUAUUUCAUCUAAAGCUAAAUACUGGCCAGAGACCGAUAGCGCACAAGUAGAGUGAUCGAAAGAUGAAAAGCACUUUGGAAAGAGAGUUAAACAGUACGUGAAAUUGUUGAAAGGGAAGCGCUUGCACCCAGACUUGCGCGUGGGUGCUCACCUGGGCUUCUGCCCGGGGCACUCGCCCGCGCGCAGGCCAGCAUCGGUUCCGGUGGUGGGACAAAGGCCUUGGGAACGUAGCUCCCCUCGGGGAGUGUUAUAGCCCUCGGUGCAAUGCCGCCUACUGGGACCGAGGACCGCGCUCCGGCUAGGAUGCUGGCGUAAUGGUUGCAAGCGACCCGUCUUGAAACACGGACCAAGGAGUCUAACAUCUAUGCGAGUGUUUGGGUGUCAAACCCAUCCGCGCAAUGAAAGUGAACGGAGGUGAGACCCCUUCAGGGUGCAUCAUCGACCGAUCCUGAUGUCUUCGGAUGGAUUUGAGUAAGAGCAUAGCUGUUGGGACCCGAAAGAUGGUGAACUAUGCGUGAAUAGGGUGAAGCCAGAGGAAACUCUGGUGGAGGCUCGCAGCGGUUCUGACGUGCAAAUCGAUCGUCAAAUUUGCGUAUA